rnacentral:rRNA from 1 species
AGUGAACGCUGGCGGUAGGCCUAACACAUGCAAGUCGAACGGCAGCACAGUAAGAGCUUGCUCUUACGGGUGGCGAGUGGCGGACGGGUGAGGAAUACAUCGGAAUCUACUUUUUCGUGGGGGGUAACGUAGGGAAACUUACGCUAAUACCGCAUACGACCUACGGGUGAAAGCAGGGGAUCUUCGGACCUUGCGCGAUUGAAUGAGCCGAUGUCGGAUUAGCUAGUUGGCGGGGUAAAGGCCCACCAAGGCGACGAUCCGUAGCUGGUCUGAGAGGAUGAUCAGCCACACUGGAACUGAGACACGGUCCAGACUACUACGGGAGGCAGCAGUGGGGAAUAUUGGACAAUGGGCGCAAGCCUGAUCCAGCCAUACCGCGUGGGUGAAGAAGGCCUUCGGGUUGUAAAGCCCUUUUGUUGGGAAAGAAAAGCAGCAGGUUAAUACCCCGCUGUUCUGACGGUACCCAAAGAAUAAGCACCGGCUAACUUCGUG